GAUGGACGCUGGCGGCGUGCCUAACACAUGCAAGUCGAGCGCGUCUGAUUUGAUGCUUGCAUUGAUGAAAGAUGAGCGGCGGACGGGUGAGUAACGCGUGGGUAACCUGCCCUAUACACAUGGAUAACAUACUGAAAAGUUUACUAAUACAUGAUAAUAUAUAUUUACGGCACCGUAGAUAUAUCAAAGUGUUAGCGGUAUAGGAUGGACCCGCGUCUGAUUAGCUAGUUGGUGAGAUAACUGCCCACCAAGGCGACGAUCAGUAGCCGACCUGAGAGGGUGAUCGGCCACAUUGGAACUGAGACACGGUCCAAACUCCUACGGGAGGCAGCAGUGGGGAAUAUUGCACAAUGGGCGCAAGCCUGAUGCAGCAACGCCGCGUGAACGAUGAAGGUCUUCGGAUCGUAAAGUUCUGUUGCAGGGGAAGAUAAUGACGGUACCCUGUGAGGAAGCCCCGGCUAACUACGUGCCAGCAGCCGCGGUAAUACGUAGGGGGCUAGCGUUAUCCGGAUUUACUGGGCGUAAAGGGUGCGUAGGUGGUCUUUCAAGUCGGUGGUUAAAGGCUACGGCUCAACCGUAGUUAGCCUCCGAAACUGGAAGACUUGAGUGCAGGAGAGGAAAGUGGAAUUCCCAGUGUAGCGGUGAAAUGCGUAGAUAUUGGGAGGAACACCAGUAGCGAAGGCGGCUUUCUGGACUGCAACUGACACUGAGGCACGAAAGCGUGGGUAGCAAACAGGAUUAGAUACCCUAGUAGUCCACGCUGUAAACGAUGAGUACUAGGUGUCGGGGGUUACCCCCCUCGGUGCCGCAGCUAACGCAUUAAGUACUCCGCCUGGGGAGUACGCACGCAAGUGUG
rnacentral:rRNA from 1 species